rnacentral:rRNA from 1 species
UACAGAGGUCCCAAGCGUUGUUCGGAUUCAUUGGGCGUAAAGGGUGCGUAGGCGGCGCGGUAAGUCGGAUGUGAAAGCUCGGAGCUCAACUCCGAAAUGGCAUUGGAAACUACCCUGCUAGAGGAUUGGAGGGGGGACUGGAAUACUUGGUGUAGCAGUGAAAUGCGUAGAUAUCAAGUGGAACACCAGUGGCGAAGGCGAGUCCCUGGACAAUACCUGACACUGAGGCACGAAAGCUAGGGGAGCAAACAGG